rnacentral:rRNA from 1 species
GUCGCGUGAGGGAUGACGGUCCUACGGAUUGUAAACCUCUUUUGCCGGGGAGCAAGCGUGCGUUCGUGAACGCGCGUCGAGAGUACCCGGAGAAAAAGCAUCGGCUAACUCCGUGCCAGCAGCCGCGGUAAUACGGAGGAUGCGAGCGUUAUCCGGAUUUAUUGGGUUUAAAGGGUGCGUAGGCGGGAUGCCAAGUCAGCGGUAAAAAUGCGGUGCUCAACGCCGUCGAGCCGUUGAAACUGGCGUUCUUGAGUGGGCGAGAAGUAUGCGGAAUGCGUGGUGUAGCGGUGAAAUGCAUAGAUAUCACGCAGAACUCCGAUUGCGAAGGCAGCAUACCGGCGCCCUACUGACGCUGAGGCACGAAAGCGUGGGUAUCGAACAGGAUUAGAUACCCUGGUAGUCCACGCAGUAAACGAUGAAUGCUAACUGUCCGGCUCGAAUGAGCGCUGG